UUAAGUUAUUAAGGGCGCACGGUGGAUGCCUUGGCACUAGAAGCCGAUGAAGGACGUUACUAACGACGAUAUGCUUUGGGGAGCUGUAAGUAAGCUUUGAUCCAGAGAUUUCCGAAUGGGGAAACCCAGCAUGAGUUAUGUCAUGUUAUCGAUAUGUGAAUACAUAGCAUAUCAGAAGGCACACCCGGAGAACUGAAACAUCUUAGUACCCGGAGGAAGAGAAAGAAAAUUCGAUUCCCUUAGUAGCGGCGAGCGAAACGGGAAGAGCCCAAACCAACAAGCUUGCUUGUUGGGGUUGUAGGACACUCUAUACGGAGUUACAAAGGACGACAUUAGACGAAUCAUCUGGAAAGAUGAAUCAAAGAAGGUAAUAAUCCUGUAGUCGAAAAUGUUGUCUCUCUUGAGUGGAUCCUGAGUACGACGGAGCACGUGAAAUUCCGUCGGAAUCUGGGAGGACCAUCUCCUAAGGCUAAAUACUCUCUAGUGACCGAUAGUGAACCAGUACCGUGAGGGAAAGGUGAAAAGCACCCCGGAAGGGGAGUGAAAUAGAACCUGAAACCGUGUGCUUACAAGUAGUCAGAGCCCGUUAAUGGGUGAUGGCGUGCCUUUUGUAGAAUGAACCGGCGAGUUACGAUUUGAUGCAAGGUUAAGCAGUAAAUGUGGAGCCGUAGCGAAAGCGAGUCUGAAUAGGGCGUUUAGUAUUUGGUCGUAGACCCGAAACCNGGUGAUCUACCCUUGGUCAGGUUGAAGUUCAGGUAACACUGAAUGGAGGACCGAACCGACUUACGUUGAAAAGUGAGCGGAUGAACUGAGGGUAGCGGAGAAAUUCCAAUCGAACCUGGAGAUAGCUGGUUCUCUCCGAAAUAGCUUUAGGGCUAGCCUCAAGUGAUGAUUAUUGGAGGUAGAGCACUGUUUGGACGAGGGGCCCCUCUCGGGUUACCGAAUUCAGACAAACUCCGAAUGCCAAUUAAUUUAACUUGGGAGUCAGAACAUGGGUGAUAAGGUCCGUGUUCGAAAGGGAAACAGCCCAGACCACCAGCUAAGGUCCCAAAAUAUAUGUUAAGUGGAAAAGGAUGUGGCGUUGCCCAGACAACUAGGAUGUUGGCUUAGAAGCAGCCAUCAUUUAAAGAGUGCGUAAUAGCUCACUAGUCGAGUGACACUGCGCCGAAAAUGUACCGGGGCUAAACAUAUUACCGAAGCUGUGGAUUGUCCUUUGGACAAUGGUAGGAGAGCGUUCUAAGGGCGUUGAAGCAUGAUCGUAAGGACAUGUGGAGCGCUUAGAAGUGAGAAUGCCGGUGUGAGUAGCGAAAGACGGGUGAGAAUCCCGUCCACCGAUUGACUAAGGUUUCCAGAGGAAGGCUCGUCCGCUCUGGGUUAGUCGGGUCCUAAGCUGAGGCCGACAGGCGUAGGCGAUGGAUAACAGGUUGAUAUUCCUGUACCACCUAUAAUCGUUUUAAUCGAUGGGGGGACGCAGUAGGAUAGGCGAAGCGUGCGAUUGGAUUGCACGUCUAAGCAGUAAGGCUGAGUAUUAGGCAAAUCCGGUACUCGUUAAGGCUGAGCUGUGAUGGGGAGAAGACAUUGUGUCUUCGAGUCGUUGAUUUCACACUGCCGAGAAAAGCCUCUAGAUAGAAAAUAGGUGCCCGUACCGCAAACCGACACAGGUAGUCAAGAUGAGAAUUCUAAGGUGAGCGAGCGAACUCUCGUUAAGGAACUCGGCAAAAUGACCCCGUAACUUCGGGAGAAGGGGUGCUCUUUAGGGUUAACGCCCAGAAGAGCCGCAGUGAAUAGGCCCAAGCGACUGUUUAUCAAAAACACAGGUCUCUGCUAAACCGUAAGGUGAUGUAUAGGGGCUGACGCCUGCCCGGUGCUGGAAGGUUAAGAGGAGUGGUUAGCUUCUGCGAAGCUACGAAUCGAAGCCCCAGUAAACGGCGGCCGUAACUAUAACGGUCCUAAGGUAGCGAAAUUCCUUGUCGGGUAAGUUCCGACCCGCACGAAAGGCGUAACGAUUUGGGCACUGUCUCAACGAGAGACUCGGUGAAAUCAUAGUACCUGUGAAGAUGCAGGUUACCCGCGACAGGACGGAAAGACCCCGUGGAGCUUUACUGUAGCCUGAUAUUGAAAUUCGGCACAGCUUGUACAGGAUAGGUAGGAGCCUUUGAAACGUGAGCGCUAGCUUACGUGGAGGCGCUGGUGGGAUACUACCCUAGCUGUGUUGGCUUUCUAACCCGCACCACUUAUCGUGGUGGGAGACAGUGUCAGGCGGGCAGUUUGACUGGGGCGGUCGCCUCCUAAAAGGUAACGGAGGCGCUCAAAGGUUCCCUCAGAAUGGUUGGAAAUCAUUCAUAGAGUGUAAAGGCAUAAGGGAGCUUGACUGCGAGACCUACAAGUCGAGCAGGGUCGAAAGACGGACUUAGUGAUCCGGUGGUUCCGCAUGGAAGGGCCAUCGCUCAACGGAUAAAAGCUACCCCGGGGAUAACAGGCUUAUCUCCCCCAAGAGUUCACAUCGACGGGGAGGUUUGGCACCUCGAUGUCGGCUCAUCGCAUCCUGGGGCUGUAGUCGGUCCCAAGGGUUGGGCUGUUCGCCCAUUAAAGCGGUACGCGAGCUGGGUUCAGAACGUCGUGAGACAGUUCGGUCCCUAUCCGUCGUGGGCGUAGGAAAUUUGAGAGGAGCUGUCCUUAGUACGAGAGGACCGGGAUGGACAUACCUCUGGUGUACCAGUUGUCGUGCCAACGGCAUAGCUGGGUAGCUAUGUGUGGACGGGAUAAGUGCUGAAAGCAUCUAAGCAUGAAGCCCCCCUCAAGAUGAGAUUUCCCAACUUCGGUUAUAAGAUCCCUCAAAGAUGAUGAGGUUAAUAGGUUCGAGGUGGAAGCAUGGUGACAUGUGGAGCUGACGAAUACUAAUCGAUCGAAGACUUAAUCAA
rnacentral:rRNA from 1 species